AGAUUAAGUUAUUAAGGGCGCACGGUGGAUGCCUUGGCACUAGAAGCCGAUGAAGGACGUUACUAACGACGAUAUGCUUUGGGGAGCUGUAAGUAAGCUUUGAUCCAGAGAUUUCCGAAUGGGGAAACCCAGCAUGAGUUAUGUCAUGUUAUCGAUAUGUGAAUACAUAGCAUAUCAGAAGGCACACCCGGAGAACUGAAACAUCUUAGUACCCGGAGGAAGAGAAAGAAAAUUCGAUUCCCUUAGUAGCGGCGAGCGAAACGGGAAGAGCCCAAACCAACAAGCUUGCUUGUUGGGGUUGUAGGACACUCUAUACGGAGUUACAAAGGACGACAUUAGACGAAUCAUCUGGAAAGAUGAAUCAAAGAAGGUAAUAAUCCUGUAGUCGAAAAUGUUGUCUCUCUUGAGUGGAUCCUGAGUACGACGGAGCACGUGAAAUUCCGUCGGAAUCUGGGAGGACCAUCUCCUAAGGCUAAAUACUCUCUAGUGACCGAUAGUGAACCAGUACCGUGAGGGAAAGGUGAAAAGCACCCCGGAAGGGGAGUGAAAUAGAACCUGAAACCGUGUGCUUACAAGUAGUCAGAGCCCGUUAAUGGGUGAUGGCGUGCCUUUUGUAGAAUGAACCGGCGAGUUACGAUUUGAUGCAAGGUUAAGCAGUAAAUGUGGAGCCGUAGCGAAAGCGAGUCUGAAUAGGGCGUUUAGUAUUUGGUCGUAGACCCGAAACCAGGUGAUCUACCCUUGGUCAGGUUGAAGUUCAGGUAACACUGAAUGGAGGACCGAACCGACUUACGUUGAAAAGUGAGCGGAUGAACUGAGGGUAGCGGAGAAAUUCCAAUCGAACCUGGAGAUAGCUGGUUCUCUCCGAAAUAGCUUUAGGGCUAGCCUCAAGUGAUGAUUAUUGGAGGUAGAGCACUGUUUGGACGAGGGGCCCCUCUCGGGUUACCGAAUUCAGACAAACUCCGAAUGCCAAUUAAUUUAACUUGGGAGUCAGAACAUGGGUGAUAAGGUCCGUGUUCGAAAGGGAAACAGCCCAGACCACCAGCUAAGGUCCCAAAAUAUAUGUUAAGUGGAAAAGGAUGUGGCGUUGCCCAGACAACUAGGAUGUUGGCUUAGAAGCAGCCAUCAUUUAAAGAGUGCGUAAUAGCUCACUAGUCGAGUGACACUGCGCCGAAAAUGUACCGGGGCUAAACAUAUUACCGAAGCUGUGGAUUGUCCUUUGGACAAUGGUAGGAGAGCGUUCUAAGGGCGUUGAAGCAUGAUCGUAAGGACAUGUGGAGCGCUUAGAAGUGAGAAUGCCGGUGUGAGUAGCGAAAGACGGGUGAGAAUCCCGUCCACCGAUUGACUAAGGUUUCCAGAGGAAGGCUCGUCCGCUCUGGGUUAGUCGGGUCCUAAGCUGAGGCCGACAGGCGUAGGCGAUGGAUAACAGGUUGAUAUUCCUGUACCACCUAUAAUCGUUUUAAUCGAUGGGGGGACGCAGUAGGAUAGGCGAAGCGUGCGAUUGGAUUGCACGUCUAAGCAGUAAGGCUGAGUAUUAGGCAAAUCCGGUACUCGUUAAGGCUGAGCUGUGAUGGGGAGAAGACAUUGAGUCUUCGAGUCGUUGAUUUCACACUGCCGAGAAAAGCCUCUAGAUAGAAAAUAGGUGCCCGUACCGCAAACCGACACAGGUAGUCAAGAUGAGAAUUCUAAGGUGAGCGAGCGAACUCUCGUUAAGGAACUCGGCAAAAUGACCCCGUAACUUCGGGAGAAGGGGUGCUCUUUAGGGUUAACGCCCAGAAGAGCCGCAGUGAAUAGGCCCAAGCGACUGUUUAUCAAAAACACAGGUCUCUGCUAAACCGUAAGGUGAUGUAUAGGGGCUGACGCCUGCCCGGUGCUGGAAGGUUAAGAGGAGUGGUUAGCUUCUGCGAAGCUACGAAUCGAAGCCCCAGUAAACGGCGGCCGUAACUAUAACGGUCCUAAGGUAGCGAAAUUCCUUGUCGGGUAAGUUCCGACCCGCACGAAAGGCGUAACGAUUUGGGCACUGUCUCAACGAGAGACUCGGUGAAAUCAUAGUACCUGUGAAGAUGCAGGUUACCCGCGACAGGACGGAAAGACCCCGUGGAGCUUUACUGUAGCCUGAUAUUGAAAUUCGGCACAGCUUGUACAGGAUAGGUAGGAGCCUUUGAAACGUGAGCGCUAGCUUACGUGGAGGCGCUGGUGGGAUACUACCCUAGCUGUGUUGGCUUUCUAACCCGCACCACUUAUCGUGGUGGGAGACAGUGUCAGGCGGGCAGUUUGACUGGGGCGGUCGCCUCCUAAAAGGUAACGGAGGCGCUCAAAGGUUCCCUCAGAAUGGUUGGAAAUCAUUCAUAGAGUGUAAAGGCAUAAGGGAGCUUGACUGCGAGACCUACAAGUCGAGCAGGGUCGAAAGACGGACUUAGUGAUCCGGUGGUUCCGCAUGGAAGGGCCAUCGCUCAACGGAUAAAAGCUACCCCGGGGAUAACAGGCUUAUCUCCCCCAAGAGUUCACAUCGACGGGGAGGUUUGGCACCUCGAUGUCGGCUCAUCGCAUCCUGGGGCUGUAGUCGGUCCCAAGGGUUGGGCUGUUCGCCCAUUAAAGCGGUACGCGAGCUGGGUUCAGAACGUCGUGAGACAGUUCGGUCCCUAUCCGUCGUGGGCGUAGGAAAUUUGAGAGGAGCUGUCCUUAGUACGAGAGGACCGGGAUGGACAUACCUCUGGUGUACCAGUUGUCGUGCCAACGGCAUAGCUGGGUAGCUAUGUGUGGACGGGAUAAGUGCUGAAAGCAUCUAAGCAUGAAGCCCCCCUCAAGAUGAGAUUUCCCAACUUCGGUUAUAAGAUCCCUCAAAGAUGAUGAGGUUAAUAGGUUCGAG
rnacentral:rRNA from 1 species